AGAAAGGAGAGAGAGAGAGAGAGAGAGAGAGAGAGAGAGAGAGAGGGAGAAUAGUCACUCCCUUCCUUCCUUCCUUCCUUCCUUCCUUCCUUCCUUCCUUCCUUCCUUCCUUCCUUCCUUCCCCUUUUCCUUUUCCCUUUCCCUUUCCUCUCUCUCUCCCUCCCUCU
rnacentral:sRNA from 1 species